rnacentral:rRNA from 1 species
GCCCGCACAAGCGGUGGAGCAUGUGGUUUAAUUCGACGCAACGCGAAGAACCUUACCAGGGCUUGACAUCUACCUGACGUAUUUUAGAGAUAAUUUACUUCUUUCGGGACAGGUAGACAGGUGGUGCAUGGUUGUCGUCAGCUCGUGUCGUGAGAUGUUGGGUUAAGUCCCGCAACGAGCGCAACCCUUAUUCUUAGUUGCCAGCAGGUUAAGCUGGGCACUCUAGGGAGACUGCCGGUGACAAACCGGAGGAAGGUGGGGAUGACGUCAAAUCAUCAUGCCCUUUAUGUCCUGGGCUACACACGUGCUACAGUGGCCGGUACAACGAGUUGCGAGACAGCGAUGUUUAGCCAAUCUCUUAAAGCCGGUCUCAGUUCGGAUUGCAGGCUGCAACUCGCCUGCAUGAAGUCGGAAUCGCUAGUAAUCGCGAAUCAGCACGUCGCGGUGAAUACGUUCCCGGGCCUUGUACACACCGCCCGUCACACCACGAAAGCUGGCAACACCCGAAGCCGGUGACUUAACCGCAAGGAGAGAGCCGUCGAAGGUGGGGUUGGUGAUUGGGGUGAAGUCGUAACAAGGUAACCAAGGGCGAA